UACGGAGGGAGCUAGCGUUGUUCGGAAUUACUGGGCGUAAAGCGCGCGUAGGCGGCUUUGUAAGUUAGAGGUGAAAGCCUGGAGCUCAACUUCAGAAUUGCCUUUAAGACUGCAUCGCUUGAAUCCGGGAGAGGUGAGUGGAAUUCCGAGUGUAGAGGUGAAAAUUCGUAGAUAUUCGGAAGAACACCAGUGGGCGAAAGGCGGC
rnacentral:rRNA from 1 species